rnacentral:rRNA from 1 species
AGAGAGAGACAUGCGCGCAUAUCAAUAAGCGGAGGAAAAGAAACUAACAAGGAUUCCCCUAGUAACGGCGAGUGAAGCGGGAAGAGCUCAAAUUUGAAAUCUUAAAGGGUUUCCCUUUACGAAUUGUAGUUUAAAGAAGUGUUUUCUGUUGAGGUUUUGGUAAAAGUUCUUUGGAAUAGGACAUCAUAGAGGGUGAGAAUCCCGUAUUUGACCUUUACUUUCAACUUUGUGAUACACUUUCAAAGAGUCGGAUUGUUUGGGAAUGCAGUCCAAAAUGGGUGGUAAAUUUCAUCUAAAGCUAAAUACUGGCGAGAGACCGAUAGCGAACAAGUACCGUGAGGGAAAGAUGAAAAGAACUUUGAAAAGAGAGUUAAACAGUACGUGAAAUUGUCAAAAGGGAAGCGUUUGACACCAGUGUUGUUUUUCUGAAAAUCAAUUAAAGAACUGUUUAUGCUAAGUUGUUUAGACUUUAUCAGCUAACUGUUUAGUUUUGAGCUUUUCUUUAAUGCACUUUUCAGUUAACAAGUCAACAUCAAUUUCUUUUGCUGUAAAAAAGCUUGAGGAAGGUGGCUUGAGAUUCGUCUUAAGUGUUUAUAGCCUCUUGCCUAUGCAGUCGGAGAGAUUGAGGUCUGCAGCGUAGAUCCUUCGGGGCUAAAUGCAUUUGUGCUAAGUUAUAGCAUUUUAUAGACAACUUGUUGACUAUGAUUUGUCUUGUAGCUUACUCGCUUAUGUUAUUUUACCUACGCUUAGGAUGUUGAGCGCAUGUCUCUCUCU